rnacentral:rRNA from 1 species
UACGGGGGGGGCAAGCGUUGUUCGGAAUUACUGGGCGUAAAGGGCUCGUAGGCGGCCAACUAAGUCAGACGUGAAAUCCCUCGGCUUAACCGGGGAACUGCGUCUGAUACUGGAUGGCUUGAGAUUGGGAGAGGGAUGCGGAAUUCCAGGUGUAGCGGUGAAAUGCGUAGAUAUCCGGGGGGACACCGGUGGGGAAGGCGGCUUUCUGGAACGGAACUGGAGGUGAGGAGCGAAAGGCUGGGGAGCGAACAGG